UACGAAGGGGGCUAGCGUUGCUCGGAAUCACUGGGCGUAAAGCGCACGUAGGCGGAUUGCUAAGUCAGGGGUGAAAUCCUGGAGCUCAACUCCAGAACUGCCUUUGAUACUGGCGAUCUCGAGUCCGGGAGAGGUGAGUGGAACUGCGAGUGUAGAGGUGAAAUUCGUAGAUAUUCGCAAGAACACCGGUGGCGAAGGCGGCUACCUGGACCGGUACUGACGCUGAGGCGCGAAAGCUAGGGUAGCAAACAGG
rnacentral:rRNA from 1 species